UACGUAGGGGGCAAGCGUUGUCCGGAAUCAUUGGGCGUAAAGCGCGUGUAGGCGGCCCGGUAAGUCCGCUGUGAAAGUCGGGGGCUCAACCCUCGAAUGCCGGUGGAUACUGUCGGGCUAGAGUGCGGAAGAGGCGAGUGGAAUUCCUGGUGUAGCGGUGAAAUGCGCAGAUAUCAGGAGGAACACCAAUUGCGAAGGCAGCUCGCUGGAACGGUACUGACGCUGAGGCGCGAAAGCGUGGGGAGCGAACAGG
rnacentral:rRNA from 1 species